rnacentral:rRNA from 1 species
UACGUAGGGUGCAAGCGUUGUCCGGAAUUAUUGGGCGUAAAGAGCUCGUAGGCGGUUUGUCACGCCUGCUGUGAAAUCCCGAGGCUCAACCUCGGGCCUGCAGUGGGUACGGGCAGACUGGAGUGCGGUAGGGGAGAAUGGAAUUCCUGGUGUAGCGGUGGAAUGCGCAGAUAUCAGGAGGAACACCGAUGGCGAAGGCAGUUCUCUGGGCCGUAACUGACGCUGAGGAGCGAAAGCGUGGGGAGCGAACAGG